rnacentral:rRNA from 1 species
UACGUAGGGUGCAAGCGUUGCCCGGAUUUAUUGGGCGUAAAGGGCGCGUAGGCGGCUCUGCACGUUCGUUGUGAAAUCGCCCGGCUCAACUGGGCGGGGUCAGCGGAUACGGCAGAGCUUGAGCAAGCUAGGGGGCAAUGGAAUUCCCGGUGUAGUGGUGGAAUGCGUAGAUAUCGGGAGGAACACCCGUGGCGAAGGCGGCUCUCUGGGACGGUACUGACGCUGAGACGCGAAAGCGUGGGGAGCGAACAGG